rnacentral:rRNA from 1 species
CGGUGGAGCAUGUGGUUUAAUUCGAAGCAACGCGAAGAACCUUACCAGGCCUUGACAUGCAGAGAACUUUCCAGAGAUGGAUUGGUGCCUUCGGGAACUCUGACACAGGUGCUGCGUGGCUGUCGUCAGCUCGUGUCGUGAGAUGUUGGGUUAAGUCCGUAACGAGCGCAACCCUUGUCCUUAGUUACCAGCACGUUAUGGUGGGCACUCUAAGGAGACUGCCGGUGACAAACCGGAGGAAGGUGGGGAUGACGUCAAGUCAUCAUGGCCCUUACGGCCUGGGCUACACACGUGCUACAAUGGUCGGUACAAAGGGUUGCCAAGCCGCGAGGUGGAGCUAAUCCCAUAAAACCGAUCGUAGUCCGGAUCGCAGUCUGCAACUCGACUGCGUGAAGUCGGAAUCGCUAGUAAUCGUGAAUCAGAAUGUCACGGUGAAUACGUUCCCGGGCCUU